rnacentral:rRNA from 1 species
CCUACGGGAGGCAGCAGUAGGGAAUCUUCCACAAUGGACGAAAGUCUGAUGGAGCAACGCCGCGUGAGUGAUGAAGGUUUUCGGAUCGUAAAACUCUGUUCGUAAGGGUAAGGAACAAGUAGCGUUAGGAAAUGAACGUACCUUGACGGUACCUUAUUAGAAAGCCACGGCUAACUACGUGCCAGCAGCCGCGGUAAUACGUAGGUGGCAAGCGUUGUCCGGAUUUAUUGGGCGUAAAGCGCGCGCAGGUGGGUUUCUUAAGUCUGAUGUGAAGCCCACGGCUCAACCGUGGAGGGUCAUUGGAAACUGGGAGACUUGAGUGCAGAAGAGGAUAGUGGAAUUCCCAGUGUAGCGGUGAAAUGCGUAGAGAUUUUGGAGGACACCAGUGGCGAAGGCGACUGUCUGGUCUGUAACUGACACUGAGGCGCGAAAGCGUGGGGGAGCAAACAGGAUUAGAUACCUGGUAGUCCACGCCGUAAACGAUGAGUGCUAAGUGUUAGGGGGUUUCCGCCCCUUAGUGCUGCAGCUAACGCAUUAAGCACUCCGCCUGGGGAGUACGACCGCAAGGUUGAAACUCAAAGGAAUUGACGGGGGCCCGCACAAGCGGUGGAGCAUGUGGUUUAAUUCGAAGCAACGCGAAGAACCUUAC